rnacentral:rRNA from 1 species
UACGUAGGGGGCUAGCGUUGUCCGGAAUCAUUGGGCGUAAAGCGCGUGUAGGCGGUCCGGUAAGUCCGCUGUGAAAGUCGGGGGCUCAACCCUCGGAUGCCGGUGGAUACUGUCGGGCUUGAGUACGGAAGAGGCGAGUGGAAUUCUUGGUGUAGCGGUGAAAUGCGUAGAUAUCAAGAGGAACACCUGAGGUGAAGACGGGUUGCUGGGCUGACACUGACGCUGAGGCGCGAAAGCCAGGGGAGCAAACGGG